rnacentral:lncRNA from 1 species
AGGGAGAAUCAUUGGAAGGUUGUAAAAAUUAUCCUUAAGUAUUUGAGAAAUACUAAAAACUAGUAGCUCAUUUAUGAAAAAUCUGACUUGAAACUUAUAGAGUUUACAGGCUUCAAUUUUCAGUUUUAUCCUAAACGGUGGAGUAAUAUACUGAAAAAUUUUCAAGCAGCACACCAUGGCCGACUAGUAUACGAAGCGAAAUACAUCAUGG